rnacentral:lncRNA from 1 species
AUAAAGUUUCAAUUUGUGCAAGUACACAGAGGCAAUUAAAUCGACGAGCGGUCAAUGCUCGACUGACCUCAACAACAGUAAAAGUGACAAACGGCUUGACUUCUCGUCCAAGUCGGCCGCGGAACUUGAUUUCUCGAUUCUUGCCCCGCACCUUAUCAAAAUGAUCUGUUCGAAGUUCAUUAGCCUUCUGUCUAUCGCUCGUUUCAAAAUCGAUCAACACUUUUCGAUUUUCCCCGUCGAUGAAAUAUGAGGAAACGGGUCUCUUGUUGGCUCUUUCUCGGUCGGAGGCAAGGAGGCUUUUCGAGGAGGGAAGGGUCUCGGGUGGUCAGCUCCACCGCCGGAGCUGUAUAAUACAAUCCGGCGGAUUUGUUACAACCGGUGCUCGAAAAAGUCUUAGGUCGCGGUACAUAAUUGGUAAGUGGCCAUACAUAUAGGAAACGAGACUACGAGAAGGAUUGUAAAUGUGAUCGCGGGGUGAUUGACUCCAAACGAGAUCGAAAUAUCAACACAAGCCUCUUAAACAGGAAACCUCGCGUCGGUAUAUCUGUCGAAGAAAAUCAUUCGGAUCAGGGGCGUAUCAAUUGAUCAAUUGCAGAAAAAGAAAAAGAAAAAAAAAAGAAGGAAAGAAAGAAGAGAGAUGAUUUUUUUCACCAUCGUUUCAAAUUAUAUCCCCCUCCCCUCCUUUCGAUCUUCAUCUGAAUUUAUGUGCAUCGCGUCGCUCGAAACAUCGAACACCACCCGCAUAUAAGCGAAAGAGAGUAAAGUAGUACUCAUUUAAAUGCUUACUUUCUAUCGUGCCCACCCAAAGGAUUCCCUAAUCACGCGACAAAUAUAUAUAUAUAUAUAUGUAUAUGUAUAUAGAUAUCUGUAAAUAUAUUGACAAGAGUGAACCCGAUUCCCGGCAAUUAUGCAAAAUAUCACGCCAUUUUCCCAUUUAAAAUGUAAAUCUCGAUUCUGCUUCCAAUAUUAAUUUCAAUUCGAUUGGUAUACGAACGAUUAUUGAUUGAGCAACGCCGAGAAGAAGGAAUAAAAAAAACGGUGACAUCGUUAGCAAAUCGCGUGUGCGAAUUUUUUAAACAAAUUUCAAGCUUUAAAUUCUCUCCGAGAGAAAAAAAUCAGAAGGCAUCCUUAUUCGAAGAAGAUGAACGGACAACGUCCAGAAAGUUCGAUAAUCGUUUCACUAAAAAGCGGGUUUCGGUAGGAAGAAGUGUUUCAACAUUGUCAACCAUUGACUGAGAACAGGACGCCUCCAUCGGUAUAUAUCACGAUGUAUAUCAAGGAAACUAUUUCAUAUUUUAUAGAUAAUAUACAUAUAUAUAUAUAUUUCAUGAAUAUUUACAUUUUCACAACACAUCAAUCUCGUUACUUUUUUUUCUUAAACACGUCUGUAAUGUAUAUAUAUAUAUAUAUAUAUAUUCGUGUGUGUUACACGGUCGGUAUAUAUGCAUUCAUGAACGUGCAUUUACGUGAUUAUCGAUCGCAAUAUUUUUCCCACACACGCGUACGCAACAUCCGUACGCAAGAUCCUUUUUUUUUUCUCUCUCCCUUAAAAAACGUGUAUGCGGUAUGUGGUACAAUAGUCGAUCGAUCUCGAACCUCUGUUGAUCCGUUCCUGUGACCAGUCGUUUACAACGAUCGAUCGGUAUGCGACGUGCUGCGCACUCGCUCUUACCUUUCGGAUCGCAUGAUCCAAACCUUCGAAAGGACGUUGACCGGUGUUGUAUCAAGAGUGUAGCAAGUGUAUCAAACACUUACGCAGCUAGGCGUAAGAGCACAUGUUGCGUGCACCGUAUGUGUAUAUAUACAUAUACACACACGUAUAUACACAUACUUGAUGCAAACCGUGUUUCAACUCGUAUAUAUCGAAAGGAAUUGUCUGACAAAAGAGAGAAAGAGAGAGAUGGAUAGAUAUAUAGACAGAAAGAGAGAGAGAGAUAUGAUAUAUCUUUCGCGUAUUUUUGCGCGAAAACAAAAUCGAAACAAAAACAUAAGGGAUAGAAAAAAUAAAAAAAUGUAAAAAGAAACGUAAUCCGAAGCGAAUAGGAAGAAAUAUAUAUAUAUGUAUAGUGUUCCGUCCCUGCACAACACCCGCGCUAAAAGACGCAAUCGAUGCAUCCUCGCCGUCUUUCUGCUCUCCUAAGUCAGCUAAAUACGAGAUUAUACCUCAUGUCGUGUCGUUAGAUCCUUAUAACGGCUUCGAAUUAAUAAGCUGAAAAUUAACGCCAUAACGUUACACUGCUAUCGUUGCACGCUUUGCGUAAAAUAGCAUUCCCUUCGGCGGACACGGCAGGAAUUCCAAAAGCGAAAUAAACUCGCUUCGGGCGUUUUUCCAUUUUUUAUUUUAAUGUCGUCUCUCCUGCACAUUCCAUCUUUUCUUUUCUUUUCUUAGAGAGAUAGGGAGAGAGGAGGAAAGAAGAAAAAAAAAUUAAUCACCGUGCCACACUCGACUAUCGAUUUUUGUCGAUUCUUUUGAAAAAUCUAAAAAAAAAAAAAGGAAAAAAAAAAGAUUCGUCGAAGAAAGACCGAAAGAUCGUUCGAUAAAUUUGAAUCGAAUUCCUUGCGAGAGAAAUACCAUGUCUGACGACCCUGAGAGGCCAAUCGUAAUUACGUCAUCGUAGCGACAGAUAUAGAAUCACUGUCACUUUCGGUAAAAUACAUAUAAACGCAGGUCAUAGUCCCUCAUCAUUUCUUUUUAUAUUUCGCUACACGCUCUGGCGCGUCUUUUUCUCUCUUUCUCUCUCUCGUUCUCUCUCUCAUACAUAGACGCACAGAGACUUAUACUCAAGACACCGCCUUGAAUAUAAUCCUUUACUCAAUGAUCAGUUUUUUUUCUCUCUCUCUCUCGUGGAACUCAAUUUUCUUUUGCAUUCUUGGAAAUUGUUAUUUUUUUUUUAUCGCGGAGGCUCGAUAUCUACGUCGAAAAAAGUCUGCAACGUACGUUGUAUAGUUGUAUAUAUAUAUAUAUAUUGAACGAUACGUGUGUAUGCAUAAUUAUUAAUAUCCAUCGAGCAAACUUCACGCGUUCCUUUCGAUUCAUUAAACUUACAUCAUUUUCUUAAAAAAAAAAAAAAAAUUUCGCAAGAUGAAAGAGAUUUAUUCUACAUUAUCAUACACGUUCAUUUGAUGUCUGUUAUUUUUUUCUACAUUUUCUACAAAGUAGUGAUCGUCGAUAAAUUGAAAUCGAAUCAUUGUUGCACGAAAGUGCUUCUUCCUCUUUCGCAUUCAUCUCUAUAAAGAGAGAGAGAGAGACAGACAGACAAACAGAGAGAGAGAGAGAGAGAGAGAGAGAGAAAGAGAGAGGAAAAUAACUCGCGGGGGAUCGUUGCUUGCCAAGUACAGUGUCGAAUAAAAUAUAUAUAUUUUUUAUAUAUAUAAGAUGAAGAGGACCGUCAUAAUCGUAUGUAUCUGGGUAUUUGGGUAGUCUCCGUUUGGUAACCUUGGUUAUAACCUCGUUUCGAGAGUAUGGAAUACGGUGCCGACCGUUGAACCACGAAUUACAAAUAGCAUUAAUCCGAGAUUUCGAUGUUACUCAGCUCCUCCUCCUCCUCCUCCUCCCUGCAAUUAUCUCCGCGAGAUCAAAAACCCACACUCGCGAAUCUUAUAUCGUUUCGUUCUAUCGCCGCUUCUCGCGAUGAUUUGAGAGAUUUGAAUCUAUACGUAGUAUUAUUUACAUAAUUCUACGCUUUCGAAAUCUAUUGCUUCGUUCGUUUUGCGCAACCUUAUUCCUAACCUAAUGCCAAUUUAAUCUUUCUUUCGUUGAAUUACCGAAAAAAAAUUGUAAUAUUUUUUUUUUAAGACGGAUAAAAGUACGGAUAAUAUAUCAAGAGAAAGCAGAAGAAAAAAAGAUGUAAUUUCUUCUUAAUAAAGAUCGUAUCGAUCGAGACUGACGUUUGUUGCAGAAGGGAGAGAGAAGAAGAGUGGGUUAAAAGAAGGAAGAAAAAGAAAGGGAACGAAAACAAUGGAGUGACACGAUAGUAACAUUUUUCUCUCUCUCUAAAGUUGGCAAUACGUUAUUCUGACGAUCAAAUUUGUCCAAUCAUUUACCUAACCUCUUCUUUUCCUUAACAAAAUUCCUCUUCUAAUAAAGAACAAAAAGUUGAACAUGAAACGUGUCAACUGAUACCGUAAUACGGAUGCACCGUAACUGGAUAUUCGGUAUAAUCUUUAAUCCCAUUAACAAUCGAAAAGACUAUGUGGAAAUCAAGCAAUAGCUGCGCCAGUAUUAACUCCAGCCAAUACUGCAGCGGGCAUGGGAUCGCAUGUCCGCCGAGAUCACCACCAUAUAUUUGCCUAGUUCCCGCUUUUCCCCCAGUAAGAGGAUGGCAAGCUUGUUGCAUACGUAAAUAUAAUUAUCCCUGUCCAGCUCACAAAAUAAAACCUCGGCCGUUAAUACGUCACACCGAUUUCGAUUUGCUAUCUCAAUACUAGAAGAAAUUAAACAUCGAUCGCUUUUUCUCCACGUGGUUCACGAAAUUUUCUCAACUGUAUAAAUGUUGUAUGAUAACUCGAUAUAUAACGCGUCAUAAACUAUUAUAUUUGUCUGUACAUUUUUUGGAUAUGAUUUUAUACAAAGUAUUUUUGUAUCUUCAAAAAGAAAAAAAAAAAAAAAGAAAGAAAAAUAAGUAAUAAAGAUAUUUAAAAAUG